CGCUGGGGGAUUAUCUCGAAAACUAGAAUAAUUGUUAUUUCUUCCGGUAGUGUUUUGGUUGCAUGUAACAGUAAUAAUUCAGCCUGGAUUUGCUGUAUCACUAAGCCACUAAAACCAGAAGUAAUCUUUGAGAAACAUAACAUCGACUAAUACGUUGGAUUUUCUACUCAUCACCCAGAGUAUAGGCGCCCAAGAAAAGUCAAAACACCUUACUGAAACAAUAUUAUCCGAACAAGUCUUCGCUAACCAUGGAUCGCACAUGGCAAUGGUUGCUGGUUUUGCUUCUCGUCCUGUCAUUACAGUUGCCCCCAUGUUUUUCUUGGAGACGACGAAGAACUAAGCCUCCUCCGUGUAAGUGUGAUUACGUUUCACCAACAUGCAAAAUGGUGAUGAGAGACGACUUUGGUAACAGCUAUACCAUGCAACAAGAAUCCUGUUCAUCUGCUUGUGGAUCGCAUUGCCCAACAUUCCAUUGCAGAUAUUUCCAAAAAAAGGAUUCCAUACUAUAUUAUAAAUGCAGAAAGUGAUAAAACGGUAAAUCACCUAAAAUUUAAACGUAAAAUUGAUUAUCAAGCAAUGCAGUACGUACUACAAAAUAAAAUUAGGAUAAUAAGGGUAAAUGUCAGAUAAAUACGAGCAAGUUAACAAGUAAGGCCAUAUUUUUGGGCCAGAAAGUGUGUAGCCUGCGAACGCAGACGUAUUUCCGGCUGUCGCUUGUCUCCGCCGAAAAAUAACGUCUGCGAA